CACCGCGGUUAUACGAGAGGCUCAAGUUGACAGUCAACGGCGUAAAGAGUGGUUAAGGAAACCUAAAAACUAAAGCCGAACGCCCUCAGAACUGUUAUACGUUUCCGAAGGUAUGAAGCCCCACUACGAAAGUGACUUUACUCCCCCUGACCCCACGAAAGCUGUGAAA
rnacentral:rRNA from 1 species